UCUAGGUAACCUCCGCAAGUAAUAAUAAUAAUACACCGCAGUGGUUCGUAAAGAGCCCCGGAGUCAAUGACUUCGACGGUAACGUGUGCGUGUAAUGCGUACCAAACCACAACAAGCCUUUCCGCCGGUUCGGGUUUUUUUUUGCCGUCCUCGACUCGUCGGUUUCAGGAUAUUUUUCACAACAGAAACUGUCCGGUACGACCAUGCGGCAUCGACGACGUUUCCCGUAUCCCGUUUUGCGGAAUUCCCACCGGUCGCGGUAUCUUAACGACCACGGUAUAAUUCGUCCGGGACAGGUUUCUGUGUUGUACCGCGGUUCGCUACGUACGUGUAUGCAUUACCGGUGUUACACGCCUCUCUCGGAAGCGUCAUCGUACGAGGCGCCCUCGAGAUGUUAUGCAAACCAGACAUGCUCGUCCGAUCAAUAAUAAAACACACGAUUGGCUGGAUUUAAUGAAAAUCUGUCUAUGGCAACUGCCAUUAAUAGCAUUAGCCACAAAAUUACUGGUGCCAACCAAGUCCAGACAGCUCGACUAAACAACGAAUCAAAGGAAAACAACCAACAUUAUAUUAAUUGCGUAUCAAUUACAAGAACUACCCCAAUAGAUCUUGAGGUAAAAUUAAUGGACAAUGAGAAUUCUACAUUCACUGAAAAAAAGGUCUGCAAAAUGACUAAUACACUCACGGGUCAUAAUGAGUUGAUUGCUGUCCAAAUACAUGAUCAAAUCGAGACCGUCAAUAUUACUAUGAACAAUUAUAAAAAGAAAAGUACAGACAAUAAAGUAGAAGCACAUUUAAAAUGUGAUCCGAUAGGCGCCCUGCAAGAACUGUGGUAUGUCUCGAGAUUAGAUAUUUCCGGAAUAUCAGUUUUUCGAAGAAGGAGAUAGUAAAACUUUUACAUACUCAGUUGUGUGUACUGUAAUGACAUUCACUAUCAGGGUAGUAAAGUUCAUUUGGCAAAAGAUGUCCCUGAAAAAAAUGUCGGAAGUCAUGGAAUGGUUAGUGAUGCACAUGUGUUCACGUUAGCGAGAUUCCACCCAGAACCGGAUACUACAGACGUCGUUGACGCACCAACAUUUACUUCAGGCAAUGAAAAGAAAUGCGUAAAAGUAAAAAAAAGACUCAACAUUUAAAAUGCGCAAUGACGUUUUAAGUCAUCCGGUAUCACUUGAAGAACACGAUACUGAUCGUCUGAUCAAUGUCUUCCAAAUUCCCUAACCGCAAUGAAUAUCACGUGUCACAUGUAAACAAAUCAGUUAUCGUUAACGAAGACAAACAAUCAUUAUUUGCUUCUGUAAACGUUGAGUUUGCCAAACGAUUUCGACUAUCAAAUAAUCCGGGUGAUUGUGAAUUGAAGGAAAUGAAAUUCAUAAGCAUGCUUACGAAUGACGAGCUUUUGCAACAAAUCGCCGAAGUGUAAAAGUUAAUUUUGAAUUAUGAAAUUUUCGAAUGCUGCCAAGUCAAGAAGAUGCGGCUUAUGAGUGUUUGACGCGCUUCAAAUCAAUUCUAGAAGAUUAAAUGUACAUUAUAAAUCAAAGCAUUAGAUUUCUAUAUGUGGAACGAGCGGAUGAAAGAGAAUUUUAAAGUCCACCGAUCGUCUGUGUUCGGAUCACUAUGCUCAACAAUAAGACUCGAUAGCAUUUUAGCAUUUAAGAUUGUUAGCAUCAAAACCGUACAAAAACAGUACAAAUUGAAAAUAUUUUCAACACAUUAUGUAAUUAUUCAACCCACUUCGGGUAGAAUAUCUCUUUUCUUAUCGAUAUCUA
rnacentral:lncRNA from 1 species